AACUUUUGAAUCCGUGCUGAGAUUUCGUCAGACACCAGCCCAUUAGGAUUGAUCAGGCUUCCAAGGUAAGUGAAGUU
rnacentral:pre_miRNA from 1 species